GCUUGCAACUCCUGGGUUGUGGGUUUGACUCCCACGGGUCUGUUUGAAAAUAUACUCACUACUGUAAAUCGCUCUGGAUUAGCGCACGCGGAUGUGUGGAUGACACAACAUUCCGAAGAGUCGUAUGAAUGCGGAGCGUGCUGUUACAGUAGAACAAUUACAAUAUAGGACAUGCGCGGAUUUUCCGUGGUCAUUUAUUUCCUCACCAAGAUCCAAUACAGACCUAAUCCGGCGGCAAGAUAUUUUUGCUACAAAACAAUUUUCAUAGAACAUAAGUUACUCUCCCACGGUGUUGAGGAACAGAGGCAAAGUAGUGGUAUUCCGAUGGUCUUGCAUGGUGUGGCCCCCUUAUGCUGACAAAGCCCGGAUUUUAAACACAUUGUUCUGAAGAUCUCCCCAAAACCAGCCAAAGGAUGGAAGCAAUACCCAGCACGAAGUACUCUUUGUAAUAUUCUGUGUACAGCCGUAUUUAUUUUUCGAAUGUAUGUAUUUAUAAUACUACACAUACAUAAUUAUUUUUAUUACCUUCAUUAACUGUGCAUGGUCCUUGUAAUCUGUUAGAGAAUAUUUUCACAAGAUUGCAGAGUGGUGGGAGAAGUCAUGUGUGACAUCAGACAUCAAAGCUGACUAGAAGCAAGAAUGCCAAAGAGGCCGACAACAUAUCAAGUCACUAGCCAUCCAAGUUCCAGACCAGAUCGCAGGCCAGACCAGACCAGCAUCUGAAAGGAAUGAACUUAAAUAGACAUGCGAGUUGGAGGCCAGGAGUGGAGGUCCAACCUACCACUUCAAGUCAAAUGGAAGAAAGUAACACUCUUGGAACUCCAAGACCUUGUUUUCAGACCUGUGAGCAACGUGUCCCACCAAACUCUACAGACCUCAAAGUUGUCCUUAACCAGGGACAGAAUUUUAAGCAAACCAUGUGGUGUGUGUUCGAGACGGUCUUCACACCAGACUUGGCAACCCAAACCAACUGAACUGGUGCGGGAGGGGGCAGAAGACUGUCAUCUGGUCAAUGCCACUGAAGGAUGCUGUUAUGUGUUCUGUUCUUAAAAACCCAAGUUUGCCAGUAAUUACUGAGGUCGCGGUUGAAAGGGCGGAGACGGCUGGAGGGAAAUACCUACUGAAGAAGAGGACGAUUAAUUUGUAGCUUAUAUAAUGCACAAUUGUUUGGUGUUUUUGUUUAGGCUUCUUUAAUUUUUUCUCUGUUUGUUAAAUUGUAUAUCUUGUAAAUAAAGUUCAUACCUUAGUCUUUUUCUUGUCUCUUCACUUUACUUAAGC
ensembl:lncRNA